GGUAUUAUAUUUUAUCAAGAAAAUUUAACUUGCAAUUAAAAAGAAAUAGUUAUAUCUAUUUAAUCCCA
rnacentral:tRNA from 1 species